GUGGGGAAUAUUGGACAAUGGGCGAAAGCCUGAUCCAGCAAUGCCGCGUGAGUGAUGAAGGCCCUAGGGUUGUAAAGCUCUUUUACCCGGGAUGAUAAUGACAGUACCGGGAGAAUAAGCUCCGGCUAACUUCGUGCCAGCAGCCGCGGUAAUACGAGGGGAGCUAGCGUUGUUCGGAAUUACUGGGCGUAAAGCGCGCGUAGGCGGUUUUUUAAGUCAGAGGUGAAAGCCCGGGGCUCAACCCCGGAAUUGCCUUUGAAACUGGAAGACUAGAAUCUUGGAGAGGUCAGUGGAAUUCCGAGUGUAGAGGUGAAAUUCGUAGAUAUUCGGAAGAACACCAGUGGCGAAGGCGACUGACUGGACAAGUAUUGACGCUGAGGUGCGAAAGCGUGGGGAGCAAACA
rnacentral:rRNA from 1 species